UACAGAGGUCUCAAGCGUUGUUCGGAUUCAUUGGGCGUAAAGGGUGUGUAGGUGGCGCCGUAAGUCGGGUGUGAAAUUUCGGAGCUUAACUCCGAAACUGCAUUCGAUACUGCGGUGCUUGAGGACUGGAGAGGAGACUGGAAUUCAUGGUGUAGCAGUGAAAUGCGUAGAGAUCAUGAGGAAGACCAGUGGCGAAGGCGGGUCUCUGGGCCUGUCCUGACGCUCAGGCGCGAAAGCUAGGGGAGCGAACAGG
rnacentral:rRNA from 1 species